rnacentral:rRNA from 1 species
GUUAAGCGACUAAGCGUACACGGUGGAUGCCCUGGCAGUCAGAGGCGAUGAAGGGCGUGCUAAUCUGCGAUAAGCGCCGGUAAGGUGAUAUGAACCGUUAUAACCGGCGAUACCCGAAUGGGGAAACCCAGUGUGACUCGUCACACUAUCAUUAACUGAAUCCAUAGGUUAAUGAGGCGAACCGGGGGAACUGAAACAUCUAAGUACCCCGAGGAAAAGAAAUCAACCGAGAUUCCCCCAGUAGCGGCGAGCGAACGGGGAGGAGCCCAGAGCCUGAAUCAGCAUGUGUGUUAGUGGAAGCGUCUGGAAAGGCGCGCGAUACAGG